rnacentral:rRNA from 1 species
UCGAGCGGCGGACGGGUGAGUAAUGCCUAGGAAAUUGCCCUGAUGUGGGGGAUAACCAUUGGAAACGAUGGCUAAUACCGCAUGAUGCCUACGGGCCAAAGAGGGGGACCUUCGGGCCUCUCGCGUCAGGAUAUGCCUAGGUGGGAUUAGCUAGUUGGUGAGGUAAGGGCUCACCAAGGCGACGAUCCCUAGCUGGUCUGAGAGGAUGAUCAGCCACACUGGAACUGAGACACGGUCCAGACUCCUACGGGAGGCAGCAGUGGGGAAUAUUGCACAAUGGGCGCAAGCCUGAUGCAGCCAUGCCGCGUGUGUGAAGAAGGCCUUCGGGUUGUAAAGCACUUUCAGUCGUGAGGAAGGUGGUGUAGUUAAUAGCUGCAUUAUUUGACGUUAGCGACAGAAGAAGCACCGGCUAACUCCGUGCCAGCAGCCGCGGUAAUACGGAGGGUGCGAGCGUUAAUCGGAAUUACUGGGCGUAAAGCGCAUGCAGGUGGUUUGUUAAGUCAGAUGUGAAAGCCCGGGGCUCAACCUCGGAAUAGCAUUUGAAACUGGCAGACUAGAGUACUGUAGAGGGGGGUAGAAUUUCAGGUGUAGCGGUGAAAUGCGUAGAGAUCUGAAGGAAUACCGGUGGCGAAGGCGGCCCCCUGGACAGAUACUGACACUCAGAUGCGAAAGCGUGGGGAGCAAACAGGAUUAGAUACCCUGGUAGUCCACGCCGUAAACGAUGUCUACUUGGAGGUUGUGGCCUUGAGCCGUGGCUUUCGGAGCUAACGCGUUAAGUAGACCGCCUGGGGAGUACGGUCGCAAGAUUAAAACUCAAAUGAAUUGACGGGGGCCCGCACAAGCGGUGGAGCAUGUGGUUUAAUUCGAUGCAACGCGAAGAACCUUACCUACUCUUGACAUCCAGAGAACUUUCCAGAGAUGGAUUGGUGCCUUCGGGAACUCUGAGACAGGUGCUGCAUGGCUGUCGUCAGCUCGUGUUGUGAAAUGUUGGGUUAAGUCCCGCAACGAGCGCAACCCUUAUCCUUGUUUGCCAGCGAGUAAUGUCGGGAACUCCAGGGAGACUGCCGGUGAUAAACCGGAGGAAGGUGGGGACGACGUCAAGUCAUCAUGGCCCUUACGAGUAGGGCUACACACGUGCUACAAUGGCGCAUACAGAGGGCGGCCAACUUGCGAAAGUGAGCGAAUCCCAAAAAGUGCGUCGUAGUCCGGAUUGGAGUCUGCAACUCGACUCCAUGAAGUCGGAAUCGCUAGUAAUCGUGGAUCAGAAUGCCACGGUGAAUACGUUCCCGGGCCUUGUACACACCGCCCGUCACACCAUGGGAGUGGGCU